rnacentral:tRNA from 1 species
GCAGUAGCUCAACAGGAGAGCAUUUACUUGGCAUGCAGGAGGCCUCAGGUUCAAUUCUUGACAUCUCUG